ACGCUCGACACCUACGGGGGCAGCAGUGGGGGAUAUUGCACAAUGGGGGAAACCCUGAUGCAGCAACGCCGCGUGAGGGAAGAAGGUUUUCGGAUUGUAAACCUCUGUUCUUAGUGACGAUAAUGACGGUAGCUAAGGAGAAAGCUCCGGCUAACUACGUGGCAGCAGCCGCGGUAAUCUGAGCGGGCUGGCAAGGC
rnacentral:rRNA from 1 species